GCAGAAUUCCAGUUCCGAAAAUCCUGUUGCUGACAACCUCAGCUGAGGGAGUCAUGGGGUGUCAAACCUGGGCUUCAAAGCUUUGAAAUUUUAUGAAACAAAACAAACAUGUAGGCAUUCUUUGCAACUUUGAGUGUUGUCUUGAAAGAUAAACUUUCAUCAUCCCUGUGCCUGUUAUUAAUGGGUCUCUCUAUCUCCCUCAAGGUGAGAAAUGACCGUCUCCAUCAAUCGUCGCUUUUCCUGGAUCUCCUCAUAGACAGGCUGCCAGCUGUUUUGUUCAUGACUGCUCAUAGGAGGCCCUUGACAAAGGUAAGUUGCCUGAAUGAACGACUACUGUGUACAGGUGAGUACAGGUAUUAACUUUCUAUUCCUGACGGCAUUUUACAGAGGAGGGGCUGGAAGUAUCCUAAGUGUCAGAGCUGGGAUUUGAACCCAGGGUGGACGUCUUCUACUGGCAAGUGUUUCUCUGAUUUCCCUCUUCGCCUGGAGUAUGCACGUCUAGAAUGGCCCGGAAGUGAGUUCAUCCAUCCUGCACCCCUGGUCAGGUGCUUCCCACCUCCCUGGCCCAGGGCCUCAAGGUCCCCGUGUUCGCGUCUCAGGUGUGCCAGCUCUGCCGCGGUCCCAGGCCCUGGGAACGGGUUGGCUUGCGG
rnacentral:lncRNA from 1 species